rnacentral:rRNA from 1 species
GACGAACCGUGCGAACGUUGUUCGGAAUCACUGGGCUUAAAGGGCGCGUAGGCGGCUUGCCAAGUCAGGGGUGAAAUCUUUCGGCUUAACCGGAAAAGUGCCUUUGAUACUGGCAGGCUCGAGCGAGGUAGGGGCAGCUGGAACUUCCGGUGGAGCGGUGAAAUGCGUUGAUAUCGGAAGGAACGCCGGUGGCGAAAGCGAGCUGCUGGACCUCUUCUGACGCUGAUGCGCGAAAGCCAGGGGAGCAAACGGG